rnacentral:rRNA from 2 species
CCUGGUUGAUCCUGCCAGUAAUCAUAUGCUUGUCUCAAAGAUUAAGCCAUGCAUGUCUAAGUACAUGCCGAAAUAAGGCGAAACCGCGAAUGGCUCAUUAAAUCAGUUAUGGUUCCUUAGAUCGUUUCUUCCUACUUGGAUAACUGUGGCAAUUCUAGAGCUAAUACAUGCAGUGAGCCUGGAGCCCUUUGGGUAACGGGUGCUUUUAUUAGACCAAGAUCGAUCGGGUUUCGGCCCGUAUUGUGUGGUGACUCUGGAUAACUUUGUGCUGAUCGCAUGGCCACGAGCCGGCGACGUUUCUUUCAAGUGUCUGCCUUAUCAACUUUCGAUGGUAGGUUACUUGCUUACCAUGGUUGUUACGGGUAACGGAGAAUCAGGGUUCGAUUCCGGAGAGGGAGCCUGAGAAACGGCUACCACAUCCAAGGAAGGCAGCAGGCGCGCAAAUUACCCACUCCCGGCACGGGGAGGUAGUGACGAAAAAUAACAAUACGGGACUCUUUUGAGGCCCCGUAAUUGAAAUGAGUACACUCUAAAUCCUUUAACGAGGAUCAAUUGGAGGGCAAGUCUGGUGCCAGCAGCCGCGGUAAUUCCAGCUCCAAUAGCGUAUACUAAAGCUGCUGCGGUUAAAAAGCUCGUAGUUGGAUCUCAGUUCCAGACGAGUAGUGCAUCUACCCGAUGCGACGGCUCGGACUGAACAUCAUGCCGGUUCUUUCUUGGUGCACUUCAUUGUGUGCCUCGAGAUGGCCGGUGCUUUUACUUUGAAAAAAUUAGAGUGCUCAACGCAGGCGAGUCGCCUGAAUAAACUUGCAUGGAAUAAUAGAACAAGACCUCGUUUCUGUUCUGUUGGUUUUUGGAAUACGAGGUAAUGAUUAAGAGGGACGGACGGGGGCAUUCGUAUUGCGGCGCUAGAGGUGAAAUUCUUGGACCGUCGCAAGACGAACUACUGCGAAAGCAUUUGCCAAGAAUGUUUUCAUUGAUCAAGAACGAAAGUCAGAGGUUCGAAGGCGAUCAGAUACCGCCCUAGUUCUGACCAUAAACGAUGCCAACCAGCGAUCCGCCUGAGUUACUCAAAUGACUCGGCGGGCAGCUUCCGGGAAACCAAAGUAUUUGGGUUCCGGGGGAAGUAUGGUUGCAAAGCUGAAACUUAAAGGAAUUGACGGAAGGGCACCACCAGGAGUGGAGCCUGCGGCUUAAUUUGACCCAACACGGGAAAACUUACCCGGCCCGGACACUGGGAGGAUUGACAGAUUGAGAGCUCUUUCUUGAUUCGGUGGAUGGUGGUGCAUGGCCGUUCUUAGUUGGUGGAGCGAUUUGUCUGGUUAAUUCCGAUAACGAACGAGACUCUAGCCUAUUAAAUAGGUGCGGGGUUCCCAGCACCUUACAACCUUCUUAGAGGGACAAGCGGCUCCUAGCCGCACGAAACAGAGCAAUAACAGGUCUGUGAUGCCCUUAGAUGUCCGGGGCCGCACGCGCGCUACACUGAAGGAAGCAGCGUGUCUUUAUCCCUGUCUGAAAAGACUGGGUAACCCGUGGAACUUCUUUCGUGAUUGGGAUAGGGGCUUGCAAUUGUUCCCCUUGAACGAGGAAUUCCCAGUAAGCGCGAGUCAUAAGCUCGCGUUGAUUACGUCCCUGCCCUUUGUACACACCGCCCGUCGCUACUACCGAUUGAAUGAUUUAGUGAGGUCUUCGGACCGAUGUCCGGCGCGGCCUUUCGGUUGCGCCGGUCUGUUGGAAAGAUGACCAAACUUGAUCAUUUAGAGGAAGUAAAAGUCGUAACAAGGUUUCCGUAGGUGAACCUGCGGAAG